rnacentral:lncRNA from 1 species
AUUAGUUCGCUUCCCUGUCUCCUUUUGGACAGCUUAGCUUGACCUGGGGAAUCUUCAGGAAUCUGUGACAUCAGUUGAGCUCCAGAAGGGCAGCGUGACCACAGAAGUGCUGAACAAGGAGAAGGCCCUGCUGCAGACAAGCAGCUAGAGUGAGAAUAAAAACAACAGGAUCACAGGGGCAACUCUGCACGAUCCAUGUGACAUUGGACAGCCUGUCUCUUUUUGGAGUAAGAAUCAAGACAACCAGAUCACAGAGACAGACCCUUCCUGAUCCACGUGACAUUGGGUAAGGCUCUUUUCAUUUUGCAAAAUACUUCACAUUAAAAACAUGUUGAGAACUCAGG